rnacentral:rRNA from 1 species
GGGACACGUGGUAUCCUGUCUGAAUAUGGGGGGACCAUCCUCCAAGGCUAAAUACUCCUGACUGACCGAUAGUGAACCAGUACCGUGAGGGAAAGGCGAAAAGAACCCCGGCGAGGGGAGUGAAAAAGAACCUGAAACCGUGUACGUACAAGCAGUGGGAGCCUCUUUUAUGGGGUGACUGCGUACCUUUUGUAUAAUGGGUCAGCGACUUAUAUUCUGUAGCAAGGUUAACCGAAUAGGGGAGCCGAAGGGAAACCGAGUCUUAACUGGGCGUUAAGUUGCAGGGUAUAGACCCGAAACCCGGUGAUCUAGCCAUGGGCAGGUUGAAGGUUGGGUAACACUAACUGGAGGACCGAACCGACUAAUGUUGAAAAAUUAGCGGAUGACUUGUGGCUGGGGGUGAAAGGCCAAUCAAACCGGGAGAUAGCUGGUUCUCCCCGAAAGCUAUUUAGGUAGCGCCUCGUGAAUUCAUCUCCGGGGGUAGAGCACUGUUUCGGCAAGGGGGUCAUCCCGACUUACCAACCCGAUGCAAACUGCGAAUACCGGAGAAUGUUAUCACGGGAGACACACGGCGGGUGCUAACGUCCGUCGUGAAGAGGGAAACAACCCAGACCGCCAGCUAAGGUCCCAAAGUCAUGGUUAAGUGGGAAACGAUGUGGGAAGGCCCAGACAGCCAGGAUGUUGGCUUAGAAGCAGCCAUCAUUUAAAGAAAGCGUAAUAGCUCACUGGUCGAGUCGGCCUGCGCGGAAGAUGUAACGGGGCUAAACCAUGCACCGAAGCUGCGGCAGCGACACUAUGUGUUG